rnacentral:lncRNA from 1 species
ACUUUUUUUCUAAAGAUAUAGGUCAACAUGAAUUGACAAAAAUCACUUGUAUGAAUCAAAAGUUCUUUAUUUCAGAGAUCAGUUGUUGGAUUUCGUAGAAGAAGAAUGUAUCCUGAUAUAACACUUGUAGCACCAGAGGCCGAAAAAAGGAAAAGGUAGUGAACAUGAAGACAACACAAAUAUAGGUAACAAAGAAAAUAAUGAUAAAGGAAAAUCAACAGAGAAAGUGGAUACAGAAUGAUGAUGGUGUGGAAAAUAAAAAUAUCACUCAAUUAAGACCAGUAAUUUGGCAUCUGUUAGGCAGUUGCUGAGGCUCACCUUGGAGGAAUGAGUCCUGAACUUACAAGAUAUGUCAGAGAAAAGCAGAAUUCUGGAGCUGCAGAAGAUGUACCCAUUAUUCAUAAAAUCAGAAUUUGUGAUCUACUCAACUCCCACAGAAAUGAACUUCAAUAGAAGAGCUGUAUGUAAGGUAGAGGAACAGGCAGAUUGAACAUUAGACUUUGUCAGUGCAAAGGGGGCAGUGAAGUUCAGUCGUUCUCCGCUAAAAACAGAUGAUUGACGACACUGGGCGGACUGAGCACAGGAGCAUAAAGGCCUAGCAGACAGGACAUUCUGGAAACAGAAAUUGUUGCAAGACCUUAUCCAUGACAACAAUAAACAAGGCUGUGAGAUCAUACAAGUCAUUCACAGAUGCUAUGCCUGAGGAAAAUAUAUUGUAGAACCAGAAAUUUUUGCUAUCUUCCCAGUAUGUGUCACAGAAAUAAACAUGUUGUGACAGGACUUUAGUGGUUCAAUAUUGAAGUGAAAAUGACAAGAGAAUGUUUAAAAAAUGGAGGAAAUCUUUUUAUGCUACUACAUGCAGAGAAUGGAAAAUUAAACGAAAAGGCUAACUUUUUAGCUCACCAGUGUCACAUAGUGCCCGUAAUCCAUCCAUCCAUCCAUUCAGCUCUGUUCAGUUUUAUUUCAGAAAGUAUACUUAGAGCUCUGUUCAGUUUUA